AUGGUUGGACGAAAUAUUAACUGUUUCAUUUAAAAUUUUUGUAGAAUUUUAUUUUUUAGUCAAAAAGCUAAAAUUUAUUUAAAAGACGAGAAGACCCUAUAAAUCUUUAUAUUUUUUUUUAUUUUAAUUAUAAAGAUUAAUUAAAUUUUAAUAAAUAAAAAUAUUUUAUUGGGGUGAUAUUAAAAUUUAAAAAACUUUUAAUUUUUAAAAACAUUAAUUUAUGAAUAAAUGAUCCAUUAAUAAUGAUUAAAAAAUUAAGUUACUUUAGGGAUAACAGCGUAAUUUUUUUGGAGAGUUCAUAUCGAUAAAAAAGAUUGCGACCUCGAUGUUGGAUUAAGAUAUAAUUUUGGGUGUAGCCGUUCAAAUUUUAAGUCUGUUCGACUUUUAAAUUCUUACAUGAUCUGAGUUCAAACCGGUGUAAGCCAGGUUGGUUUCUAUCUUUAAAAAAUUAUAAUAUUUUAGUACGAAAGGACCAAAUAUUAAAAUAAUUAUAUUUUUUAUAAAAAUAUUAUUAAUGU
rnacentral:rRNA from 1 species